AGCCGAGAGGCAGAGAAACCUGGGGCCUUGGCCUCGGGAACCUGCGGGGGCUUGAUGGAGGGUCUGCAGGUGUUCAGGGUGGUGUUUAAACCUUCUUUGUAGGCACCAGCCUGCUUUUUAUAAAUCUGAUUCCUCAGCAGUGCUCCUGCCCCUUGCCGUUAGUUGAUGGGAGUGGGUAGAAUUGGAGAUGUGAGGCAGGGGGAUCAUCAGGGGGAAUCUCUCAGCUAAGCUGCUUGGAAUUCCUUCUCCCUCCAUUGCUAACGUGCCCUUUCAUCCUUCCUUCCUCCCUGUAGCAAGUGAAAGCAGCCACAUUCCCCUUCCAGGGGUGCAGGGGCCCCUCGGUUGGGAUGCAGAGUCUGACGCCAUGGGCGGGCUGCUUGGAAGGUGUGGACACAGGCUGCCACGUAGGCAGUGACUCAGCAUGCCCCUUCCACAGAGGCCCUGGGAACGUGGCAAAGGUGCUCAUCAGCCCCGGGAUUAAUAUUAACCGUCCCAGGCAGGCCCAGGGCAAAUCCAGUCAGAGAGGCGUGGUGGACUCAGGGCAGGGUGGGCAGGUGGAUGAAGCCAGAAGCCACCCCGUGUAUUCUCUCCUGAAAAUUCACGUCUCUUUCCCUACCCACAGAAAGGACAGUCACAAAGAAAAGGAAAGGCAAUGUCUGGCGUUUCAGAAACAUCACAAAGAGCACAGAGAAGGACGUUCUUUGUCUAGAGCAGACACUCGAUUCCUGUUGACAGUACAUUAGAAAUAACCAGUGGAUGGAAGAGAAUUCAGUAACCUGGAGAGACGGCAGCAUUCUGAAGCAGAGGGGAGGUCAGGGAGAUAAUUUUGUCCCAAUGUUUUGUUUUACAGAAGAGCAAACCAAGGUAUUGAGAGAAGGAAAGCUGUCUGCAUUUGGCCUGUUCUCUCUGACCAAAGUGGCUCAGUGUCUUCUGCAGAUAUUUGACAGCACGUGAGCAACACCUGAAUCAGAUUCUUCUGUGGUGCUGAGGAUGGAACCCAGGGCCUCCCAUGCUGGAUGAGCGCUCAGCCACUGAGCCAACUUCCGAGGCCUGAAGCAGAGUGUCCAUCCCGGAUUCUCACGCGUGGCUUUGAUUGUGUUUGUGCUUCUAAAGGAAUCGAUGCUCAAGUGGGGCCAGGUGAAUUCAUGCACAAUGUGACCUCAAUUGCUUUUUGUUUCGUUGUGGCAAAUAUAUAUAUAACUUGAAUUGUGUCAUCCUAACCAUUUAAAGUGCCCAGUUCAGUGGCAUUAGGUAAUUCAUGUACAACCAUCAACACCCUCCAUCUCCAGAACUUUAUCAUCACCUCAGACUGAAACUGUAUCCAUUAAACAUUAAUUUUUCAUUCCUUCUCCCCCAACCCCUGGCUACCAUCUCUCUGAAUUGGAUGGCAGGAGGUACCCAGGCAAGUAGAAUCAUACAGUAGCUGUCUUUUGUGUCUGGCUGACUUAACUUAGCAUAAUGCCCCCCUGGUUCAUCCAUGCCAUGGCAUGGUGUCAGAAUUUCCUUUCUCAAAGAGGCUAAGAUCCAGCACAUGUAUAUACUGCACACUACACUUUCUUUUUCUUCUCCUUUUUUUUUUUUGGUACUGGGGAUUGAACUCAGGGUACUUGACCACUGAGCCUCAUCCCCAGCCCUAUUUUGUAUUUUACUAAGAGGGUCUCAUUGAGUUGCUCAGUGCCUUGCUGUUGCUGAGGAUGGCUUUGAACUCACCAUCCUCCUGCCUUAGCCUCCUGAGCUGCUGGUACACCCCGCCUCGCCUCUACCACAUGUUCUUCAUUCACCUACCAGUGCAUCUUUUGGCUCUUGUGAGUAAUGCUGUCACGAACAUGAGUGUGCAAAUAUCUGUUCAAGUCCCUGCUUCAGUCUUGCUCAUUUUUAUGUCCUGUGUCAUCUUUAGCACUGAUGAGUAAAACUCUUUCCAUUCUCGCAGAGUAGCCCUUUGGGGGUACUCUUUUAAUAUUCUGUAUUCUAUAGCAAAGCGAAAAAAAAAAAAAAGAUUGGAAAAUGUUGCUGACAAUCAACUUGUAGGACAAGUUAUUUUUCUUUUUGCAGGAAUCUUGCUGUUAAAGCACCCUUUUGUAAUCCCAUUUCAGGGCACACUGAGCAGUUGAUCUGUUUACUGGCCGACAUGUGGUUUGGAGGGGAGGCUGUGGAGGGUGGAGUGACCCACUCUGGCUUGAUGCUGGGGCUCUGCCAGCUCAUCUGUGUCUUUAAAACAUUCUGCACAUGUUCACUUGAGACUGGCACCUGCCCUGCGCCAUCACCCUCUGUCACUUCCUUCCCUGUAUUUCAAAUUGAGCUUUCAAUGUCCUGCCCAGAUGCCUGGUUAAGAAGUCAUAGGAUUAAAAAACCAAAAAACCAAAAUAAUCCCCCCACCCCACAAGACACCCAGCACCUAAAGAAUAACCCAGUUCUACGAACUCAUUGUAAAACGUUUGGCUUUAUUUGGGUCUCAACCAUGAUGCCCCAAACCCCACGGGGCUUUCUCUCUGGGGAUCUUUCUGCGUUUUGGCUUCCCUGGGGCCCCACACACUCGGUUUGGUGGGCUAGUUCUGCCUUGUGUUUCAUCACAGGAAAGUUAUUCUGGGUCUCAAAAAGGCCUCGUAAAUCUGCUCCCCAGAUGGAAGUCUCCAGUAAAAAUCUCCUCUCUUUGUGCAUCUCUCAAAUUCCUCUUUAAUUUAAUUCAACAAAUGAAUAAUCAAAUGGGGUGUGAGAUAAGCUGUAAUCCCCCCCAAAAAAAAAAAAUUUUGUUUUUAAACAAGCACUAUUGUGAAUUUGACCACUUUCCUUAGUUUAUGAUUAGCCAAGUAUGCAGCAGGCGAACGGGUGAUUCCUCAGGAAGGCAGUCAAGGGUAAGCUGAAGGUCAUUAACCAGUGCACAGCACUGGGUAGGCAAAAUGUUACUGGAUCCUAGCAUAUUUGUUAUUCCUUUCUUAAAAGGAACUUCAUAACACAAGUUUGAGUUUAUAAGAGGCUGAGAUAUAAUUUCUCUUUAAAGAGACAGGUUAAGGGAUAGGUAGGCCCCAGGGUCAAGGGCACAGGGAUCAGCAUUGUGACCUUGGAGUGGAGAACUAGACCUGACACGGGUCUUAGGACUUUUGUUCUGCUCCCAAGCAGGAGAGAUGACAUGGGGAGGUGCUGCUUGUGUGACUAGGCCUGGUGACUUGGUGGGUUGAUGGCACCUUUUGGGCAGCCUGUGGAUGUCUGCCCUGAAACCCAACGGAAGCAUUCCUUCCUCCCUCCCUCUCCCCACAUGCACAGCUGAGGCUGGGUUUCCCCUCUUCUGUACAUGCUUCUGCUUUGGAUUAUGGGCAUAAGAAACACACAGUGUUCUUUCUACAAGUACACACUUUUUUUUAAAGCCUUUUAUAUGUUUUUUUAAAAUAUAUGUUUUUGCAGGGUGUGGUGGUGCAUACUUUUAAUCCCAGUGGCUCAGGAGGCUGAGGCAGAAGAUCUGCAGGUUGAAAGCCACCCUUAGCAACAUAACGAGGUCCUAAGCAACUUGGAGAGACCCUGUCUCAAAAUAAAAAUAAGUUAAUUUAUUGUGGCUCAGUGGUUAGGCACUCCUGGGUUCAAUCCCUGGAAGAAAAAUUUUUUCAAAAGUAAUAAUUCUAUAAUUUUUUUAGAAAUUAUUUUUUUAAAAAAAUAAUGUUUAUAAUUUUUCCAAAAAUUAUAAGAGCCUCCCAGGUAGGUUGAAACAAAACAACACAGAACAGCAAAUAAAAAGUACUUCAACCCCUCCUAUCCCUCCUGGUUUCUCCCCACUCUCCCAAACCCAUAAUCAUGGAAUUGCACAUGAACCCUCUGUAUUCUUAUUUUAUAGAAAUAUUUUAUGAAUUGCAUAGCAGGUGGUUUUGCUUUAGAGAUCUGGAGUCAUCGUACAGCUGCCGUUGCUUCUGGGUUUCAGUUACCCAUGGUCAAUAGGCAUCCUUGUCCUGGCCUGUCAUCAGAAGGUCCACAGUAGCCUACGCUAUGUCUCCAUGUCUGGGUCUUUCCCUUCAGUGCAUCUUAUCACGAGGGCAUCGCAUCAUCUCACACCGUCACAGGGAGAAGAAGAGUGAGUUCAGUAUAAGGAGAUGAUUUGGGGGGAGAAAAAGAGAGUGACUAUAUUCACAUACCUUUCAUUACAGUAUGUUGCUAUAAUUGUCUUAUUGCUAUUUUUAAUCUCUCACUGUGCCUAAUUUAGAAAUUAAGCUUUAUCAUAGGUGUGGGUGUGGAUAGGAAUAAAAAAGCAGUGGACCAUACUGGGCUUGGCACUAUCUACAGUUUCAGGUAUCUGCUGGAGGUCUGAGGUUAGAGGGGGCUACUGUACAUAUAUUUGUGAAUGUUUUUCACUUUUGAGUAUAGCAUGGACAAGUUUCCAGAUCAGUAUAGAGACCGAACUCAUUUAAGAGGUACGUACCACUACCUAUGAAAAUUUGCUACCAUUUAUUCAGACAUCCCUGAUUGACAGACUUGCAACUUGCUUCCAGGUUUUACUACCAGGAACAAUGCUACAACUGGAAUCCUGUACAUAGAAACACCCAAGCUUUUACUUCUAGAGGAUGGAUAUCUUGCAGUGAGGUUCUGGGGUAUGCCCAAUUUUAAUACAUAUUGAUUGUUGACUUUCCCAAAAUUGAGUAGCUCACACCAUCGCUGGCAAUGGGAGAACACCUUAAACAUUUACAUUUCCUUUCCUGGGACUGGCCUAUUAUUUUUCAUAUUUGGGGGGGGGGUGUAUCUUUAAAUUAUUGAUUUAUAGCUCUCCAGCUGCCAUAUCAUUAUAAUAUUUCCUUUUAGCCUAUUCGUUGUCUUUUGACUUAGUGGUCCACAUCUUUUGUCAUAUGGACACCAUGACACCACAGAUGACUUUUCUUGUAGUCAAAGCUCUCGAUCUGUUUUUGGCUUCUGACACUCUUGCUUAAAACCUUCUCUACUUCAAGCAAGCAUCUCUCCCAUUCCCCAUUUUAUUCUAAAACUUCUAUUACCUAUUUUUGAUAUCAAAAUCCUUACUCUCUGUUGAAAUUUAUUUUUAAAGAGGAGAUGGGAAAGGAGAUAUGUAUAAUUAAAUUAUUUUUUCCCAGAUAGUUUCCAGUGAUGCCAACAGCAUAUAUGAAGCAAUCAAUUUCCUCUCUUUAAACUGAUGAUAAAUGCAUCAUAUGGUACUUGUUCUUAUUUCUGGGAUCCGUUCUUUUCCACUGAUCCAUUUGUUCCUGUGGCAAUUCUACAGAGUUUACAAUGGCUUUAAUCAUUAGUGUCGAUGUAUGGAAGGGCAAGCUUUCUCAUCAUUUUAGUUUUAAAUAUUUUUGGUAACUUCCAUGGAAAUGUUAACAUUAUCUAGCACCCAGACAUUUUCUUGGUAUUCCAAUUGGAAUUUUUAAAAAAUCAUCAUAUCCUUUUAGAAGACAUAUAUUAUUUUAUUGAGUUUCUCAUCCAGGAACAUUUUAUGUCUUUUAGUAAAAUUUUGUAGCCUACUUUGCAUAAAUUGUAUCUAUUUCUUGUUACAUUGAUUCAAAGAUAUUUUGUGUUUUUUACUAUGUUGAUUGAGAUUAUUUUUCAAUUUCCUUUUAAAAUUAUUUAUUUAUUUAUUUAUUUUGAGGCAGGGUCUAUCUUUGUUGCUCAGACUGGCUUUGAACUCUUGAUCUUCCUGCCUCAGCCUUCUGAGUCGCUGGGAUUAAAUGGGUAUAUCACCAUGUUCAGCACCAUUUCAUUUCUAAACUGGCUAUUACUAACAUAAAUAAGAACCUUUGAAUUUCAUAAAUUUAUUGCAUGUAGUUACCUUAUCAAAUUGUCCUAGUUCUUAUAAUAGAUUUUAAAGAUAGAAUCUUUCCCUUUUUCAGGUGUAGUCAUUUUAAUAUGUAAACAUAUUAGUCUUCCGAUGGUGAGAUUCCUUUUUAAGUUUUCUUGUCUUAUCGCAUUCGUGAGAACUUGCCAAAGUAGAUUGAAUAACUUUGGUGAAGAAGACAUUUUUGCCCUAGUUCAUAUUUGAAGGAAACCACUUUGCUAUUUCCUUGUUUGAUAUAAUGUCUGUUGGUCUUGAAGCUUUUUGUCACUCUUUAAAAAAAAAUUAGGAUUGUCUCCUGGAUUUUAUCAAAUGCCUGUUUUUCUUCAAUGUGAAUAUUAUUUGUCAUCUUUAAAAAUAAACCUCUCCCUAAGGGCCCCCACUUUCAAUGAUGUUGCUAUUAGCUGGAAAUUGAAAAAAUCUCACAGUUAGCAAUGGAUGUCAAACUCUGGUAACUUGCCACAUCCUGUGGAGUCCUGGAUGAUGUCAGCUUGGAGUUGUCAUUUGCAUACAGCAAGGAAAGGCACAGCAAGACAGAAACCAGGGACUUACGGGAAGGGUGGAGGUGAGUGUCUUACUUCUGAAGCAGCUGGGGAGACCAGGAAGCAGGAGCAGGGUGAGGAGUGCUGAUCACCAGGUGCUAUCAAUCAACCCGACAGCGUGAACCUGGGCGGCAAGGGUGGGGCGGAGGGUGGAAGCCAGUAUGAUUCUUCACUAAGCAUUGGGUAGAAAACUCCAGAAACCUGUGGAGCAGAUACCAAAGUCUGGUGUGAAUGACAGCUCAGGCCAUGGGCAGGCCAGGUGAGUGAGGCAUAGGAAUCAGAGGCUGGGGAGUAGGUGUAGGUGAUUCCAUGGUCGAGCUUAAUCUCCCGGGGUUUAGGACUACUGUGAAAGGCUGAAGAACUUGUUUCUUUGUCAUAUUUUGGGUAUUUUUAAUUUUAUGUUUUCUUUUUAGACUUUUAAUUUUUAUUUAUUUUUCUUGAGACAGGGUCUUGCUGUGUUGCUCAAGCUGGCCUCAAACUCCUGGACUCAAGCCAUCCUCCUGCCUCAGCCUCCAGUAGCUGGAACUACAGAUACAGGCUGGGGUCAUCUUGAAGAUAGUUUGUGUCCUUGUUAUUGGAUGGACAUGGGGAGACCAGGACUGAUCUGUCGGCAACAGGACGUGGUGGAUAUCAUGUGGAUUUUAUAUAUGAGGUUGCUAAAGUGGACAGGCUGAGUCAUGUAUCUUGCCUAGUCACAGAGCUAGGUCUGUGUGAUUUCCAAGCCUGUUUCUUUUUGUGAAGUGUUUAUUCAGAAAACUUUCUUACAGGGUCCAUAAACAUUUUAACUCGGUUGUCUCUGGCUUUUCCAGUACCGUAUACAGAUGUGUAUCCAUCCAUCCAUCUGUGCACACACAUUCCCAUUGACAUCUGUGGGUUGGAAUGCGAGGGGGCAGGUGUGUUGACUACUGUAGGUAGAGGCUGCUUGGGUGCCUCUCCUUAAUGGAACCAUCAAACUCUUUUGUUCUGAAACUGGGUUUAAUCAGUCAAAUGUUAUCUGGGGGACUGACUCAUGCUAACCAAGCCAACUGAUAAAACAGGUAGGUGUUGCUUUGCCAAUUAAAUGUGAGAAGUGAGGCAAUUUACCAAGCUUCUUCCUUCCCACCUUGGUGGUGAUUGUGGAAGAUGUGUGGAGACGGAGCCUCCAUCAGCCUGGGUGCCUGAGUGACAGGUGAACAGACUUGUGUUGAGCAGAAGAGGGAGAGACAAAUAAACUUCCUAUUUAAUCCAUAGAGAUGAUGGGGUUGUUUGUUAUGUAUGCUCAUGUUAACCUAUCCUGACUGAUACAGUAAAUUGGUCACUCCCUCUUAGCUUACAAUGACGAACAUCCAGUCCCACACAUAUAAAGGGAGGAGUGCUUGGACCCAAAUAAGAUUUUUCAUCUAACCUACAUGAAAAUGUCAAUGACUUACAAUCCAACUAAUCAGAAUUCAAUUAAUGUAUAUGCUUCUUACCACCUUCCAAUGCACUUGUCCAGGCCACAACCACCUCUGGAUUAUUGCAAAAGCCUCCUUGUGUUAUUUUCCUCAUAUACUUUUGCCACCCCAACCUCCUCCUCUAGUCCAAUCCUGGAGUGCACCUUUUACAAAACUAAUAUUUUAGUUAUCCAUAGAUUGGGAAUAUCUUUCUGUGUUAGUGAAAUUAUUUUUCGCUGAAGGAACAUAGAUUGGAAUUCAAGGCCAAUCACUUGCCCAGGGCCCUUCCCCUAGGCAGAUCUUGGUGUACUGUGCCAAAGAGAAGGGCAGGUGUUGGCUUGAUGUACGGUGAGUUAGAACAAAGAGAACCAUCUCUCCAGGGACGGCUUCCAUUUGGCAGUGGUGCCCUGACACGUACUCAGACUCCUAACCCAGGGCUCUGUGCAUGGGAUCAAAUGUGUUGAACCAGAAGACACCAUUCCAGCUACCCGAGUUCAUCCCACAUCAGUUUAAUAUGUACUUUUUAAUGUUUUAAUGUAUCAGUGGCAAAAAUUUAAAAAGUCAAAAUUAAA